GUUUUUCUGGUGUAUCAUGGUGUCACCAUGCAGAGCUCAUCAUCACAGGUGACCAUGAAGUCCCAGAAUUGCCGAAGAGCUCCAGCAUGGACCAAACGGGAGGUACGGGAUCUGAUUGCUGUAUGGGGAGAUGAAUCCGUGCUGGCAGAACUCCGUUUGAAAAGACGAAAUGCCAAAAUAUUUGAAAAAAUCUCCAA